UGGAGUGCGCAGUUCCUUACCGACCUGCUGAAGACAUGGCAUUAGCAGUUGCAAGGUUUAUACAGAAAGGAGGGGCCUUCAUAAAUUAUUAUAUGUACCACGGAGGAACAAAUUUUGGCCGAACUGCUGGGGGUCCUUUCAUUGCUACUAGCUACGAUUAUGAUGAUCCUCUUGAUGAAUAUGGACUAAAGAGGCAACCAAAAUGGGGCCAUUUGAAAGAUUUGCAUAGAGCUAUAAAUCUCUGUAGUAAAUGGAGAACCCAC